rnacentral:rRNA from 1 species
AUUGAACGCUGGCGGCAGGCUUAACACAUGCAAGUCGAGCGAGCGGCGGACGGGUGAGUAAUGUCUGGGAAACUGCCUGAUGGAGGGGGAUAACUACUGGAAACGGUAGCUAAUACCGCAUACCAUCAGAUGUGCCCAGAUGGGAUUAGCUAGUAGGUGGGGUAAUGGCCUACCCAGGCGACGAUCCCUAGCUGGUCUGAGAGGAUGAUCAGUCACACUGGAACUGAGACACGGUCCAGACUCCUACGGGAGGCAGCAGUGGGGAAUAUUGGACAAUGGGCGAAAGCCUGAUCCAGCCAUGCCGCGUGUGUGAAGAAGGGCUUCGGAUUGUAAAGCACUUUAAGUGGGGAGGCGUUACCCACAGAAUAAGCACCGGCUAACUCCGUGCCAGCAGCCGCGGUAAUAC